rnacentral:rRNA from 1 species
CCUACGGGUGGCAGCAGUGGGGGAUAUUGCACAAUGGGGGGAACCCUGAUGCAGCGACGCCGCGUGGGUGAAGGAGCGUUUCGGCGCGUAAAGCCCUAUCGGCAUGGAAGAAGAUGACGGUACCUGACCAAGAAGCCCCGGAUAACUACGUGCCAGCAGCCGCGGUAACACGUAGGGGGCAAGUGUCAUCCGGAUUUACUGGGUGUCAAGGGGGCGCAGACGGCAAUGCAAGCCAGGAGUGAAAGCCCGGGGCCGAACCCCGGGACUGCUCUUGGAACUGCAUGGCUGGAGUACAGGAGGGGCAGGCGGAAUUCCUAGUGUAGCGGUGAAAUGCGUAGAUAUUAGGAGGAACACCGGUGGCGAAGGCAGCUUACCAAACUACGACUGACGUUGAGGCACGAAAGCGUGGGGAGCAAACAGGAUUAGAUACCCUAGUAGUC